rnacentral:rRNA from 1 species
AUACGAAAGGUGCAAGCGUUGUUCGGAUUUACUGGGCGUAAAGAGAGUGUAGGUUGUUUAUUAAGUCGGAUGUGAAGUCCCGGGGCUCAACCUCGGAACUGCAUUCGAUACUGGUAGACUAGAGUUCGGGAGGGGUAAGCGGAAUUCCGUGUGUAGCAGUGAAAUGCGUAGAUAUACGGAGGAACACCUGAGGCGAAGGCGGCUUACUGGACCGAUACUGACACUGAGACUCGAAAGCGUGGGUAGCAAACGGGAUUAGAAACCCCAGUAGUCC